AAUGAUACCGUUUCGUGGCGAAAAGAAAAGAGAAAAAUGAAUCCACUCUAAGUCACCCCUGUCCUCGCUCACCUUCCUCACUAGUCUAGUCUCUUCUACUGCUGACAGGCGACAGCAAUGGCGGAGCUGAAAAAUUGAUGCGAUGCCCUCCGCCGCUCCCUCAUCCCUCCUAGCCCUCUAUAGCUCUUGCGCCUAGAUCGGCUGUUCUCCCCCGUUGUCCGCCAUACCGGCUCGAGCGCGGCAGCUCGUACUUGGAGGCGGCGGAUCUCGCGGUGGUGCAGCCACUUCUUCCAGCUCGAGCACGGCAGACCCAACUCAAGCGCGGCAGACCCCGAUGUUGCAGGCGCGUGCCGCCUCCGUCGAUCCGCAAGGACGCUCGCCGACGGACUACAACUCGUUGAAUCAGGUAAUACCUUGAACAGGAGGAGGGAGAGGUGUCCGACGGCAUCACACGACAAAGGAAGCACAGAAUGAAGUAAGGAGUUGUGUCGUUGCCGCCGGCGAGGCGUUGAGGAUGGGAUCCAAGUCACUGCGGGCAUCAAGGAAGGGCGUCGUGUCGCUGCCGGCGUCGAGGAAAGACGCUGUGUCAAGCUUCCGGCGGCAAGUCGUCAAGGACGAGCCCUGUGUCUCUACCAGCGGAUGUGUCACCUGGAGGAGGGACUAGAGAUGCCCAUCCCGCGAUGCACUGUUUGGUCCAAUUGAUCCUCAAUCUCCAGGAGAGGAUCGUGCUUUCAUUUUUUGGCGCCAGUUUAGAAAGUAAUUUGGCGCUAAUAAAAAAAGAUACGUGUGAUAUUCCCUCCAUUUCUCCUUAAACACAGGAAAUUUGUUUCUAAUUUUGUGUCCACCGGUUGACUAAAAGAAGGCCCGUUAGAUUAAAUGAACGGCAGAAUCUGCACUACUGUACCCGGUACAGUAAUACAAGAACUGCAGAGGAGCCGCGCCCGGCUCAAGCCUCCUCCUCUCUUUCUCACCGCCUCAUCGGCACCUGCGGCCGCACCCCACCGCGCCGCUCCAGACCCUUGCCCUUCCCAAGCCCUUCACCCUCCUCUCUCUCUCUGACCGCUGUGGGGGGCCUGCCUAAGUUUCGUUGUCCAAGGCCCUUUUCUGGAUCGUGCUUGGUUCAGGGAAGAAACGGGAGGUCGAGGGAGGCAGUUGUGUGCGGGCCCGAAGAGCAGAUUCGGGGAAGAGCGCGGAUGGGCGCCGCUGGUGACUGUGUGGGGAGGACCGCCGGGAUAGAGGUGUCCCUCACGACGGCAGCACCACCAGAUAUGCCACCAGUCUGGUCGUUGUAGAUUUGACAGGAUUGGCAGUGUUUGCAAUGUUUCUGCUGGGUUAUGUGCUCUGGCCGACGACUCUGUGUCAAGUUUGUUGAUGAAGGGAGUUUCUCCUUAUCAUGUUCCUGGUUUGUCUGAUCUUUGUGCGUCCUUUUUCCUACUUUUGGUGGCCUUGUGAUUCCUUUCAGAUUCUUCUAUCUUCUAUACUUCUUUCAGGUACGUUUCUAUGCGGAUCCUGGUUGGCCCGAUUGAAGAUUGGAGAGAGGAGGUCAUGCCGGCCUCGCCAACGGCCAAUCCAUGUUUCUUGCUAUAUGCGGCAUCAGCUUAUGCUAUAUGUUGAUUUGGUUGGUUUUGUUGGGCUUUCAGUCUAGACUUGUGUGUUUCUAUGUGGCACGUGCAAGCAAGAUGGUAAGACUGCUCUUUGUUUCUUGCCAAAAAUAUAUAGCCUAAGGAGCGACUAUGCCCUCUUAAAGAUAGUUGAUUGCACAUGUACAUGAGAUCUGUCAGUUUUGUCAAUAUAAAUAAGUGUUCCUUUACCAAGGAUGUAGCUAAUUUCUCAUAUUGCACUUCUUGUGGCCUUGCUUCCAUCCUCUGCGGCAAGCCGCACUAUGCAGCGCCACUUGCAGGAUGACGUGCGAGAUCAUCUACCACAUAUUGAGGUUGGCCUGAAGGCUGUGGUGAUCAGUGGCCAUCCGUGUGGGCCUGGAGUAUGGUGUGCUUCCUAUACAGGAAUAAAACUAAAGAAGAUAACUCUGAAAUCCAGUCUGCUCAACCAACUGAAGAAAAUUGUUUGGGAGGUUUGGCAAGGGAAGUUGAUCAACAAAGAACACAAAAAGAUAUUUAGUAUAAUUUCAUAUUGUGCUAUUAGUUUUUUUGCAUAGUUAAUAAUCUUAGAUUUCUCAGGAAUUUAAAGUUGUUUUCUUAUAUUUUGAUAUGCAUGUGUCGUACCACACAUAAAGUACAGCCAAUCUGUUUUUUGUGUCCUGCCUUUAGGCAUUAUGGAAGGCAAGAAAUAACAAUCCGUUCAAUGAAAACAACCCAACAAGAUCUGAACUCAUUAAUAAAUAGCAGAUGAGCUAAUGAGAGUUAUGGGCAACAAGGUCGACUUCACCAACGGAUAGCAUUAAGUUGUGGGCUGAUCAGUUUCGUCCCAACAAUUAAAACUCAUAUCCACCCUCCUGUUCCAUUUUCGUUUCUUUGUAUGUUUUACUUUUUUUAUUUUUUCUCCAUGAUGCAAAUGUAACAAUUGCCAGAAGGCUGAGUGAAGCUAUAAGUUAGAGGAUCCUCCACGUUUUUUCUUCAGGCAAAAAAGCACGCAAAGUAACAUAUCCAAGAUCUAGGUGAGUAUAUUAGCCUACUCUCAUCCAUAUAUGUCUUAUUCUGUCUUCCCUUAAUAAUUACAAUUUGCAUUGACCAAUAUUAUGCCAGAUUAAGUAACCCUUCCCUGGUUUUUAGUUGAGAUAACAUCAUACAUGGAACAGAUGUAUGUUACACUUGGCAGUGUAUUUCUGUUUUACUGGAUGUCAACUUUAGAACAAUUAAAUAAGUUAUCUGAUGAUGAUUAGAUGUUCUUUUCAUCAGUUUAGUUCUAAAACAAGGAACUGAGCUGUUUUGCUGGUUGCGUAUUUUGUUUUACUUUGCAAAUAGUUCCUGAAUAAGGUGAACUGUCCUCGGUUUCAACUUGAAUAAAAAAAGUUGGUAUUUAUCUAUUUUCUAUGCCAUACUCUUACUCAUUACCGGUACACUAUCCUUUUUUUCUUCUUUCAAUCGCAGCCCUAUUUCUCAGAUCAUUUCAUUCAGGUUAGAAAACAAUAAGGUAGUAAGAGAUUCGAACAAUUGAGCAAGUAGUACCAAGUUGAGCAGAUAGAGUGAUGGAUGGCAUGGAUUCUUGGCUGGAUACUGCAGUUCUUCAUUGCUCGAUGUGUUCAUAUAUGCUGAUGCUAUCCUACAUGGAGCGCUUCCUGUUUAAAUAUAGAAUCAUGUUCAUGUUCCAGGAUUCAACUCGAAGAUCCAACAAUUGAUGGCUAUGGCUUCUCAUUGCUCAGAAUAUCUAUAAGAGAUGGAUCCCUUGCUGACAUAACUUCAACUUAGUCAAGAUAGGAGAACCAUGUAGCCAGUACUAUGUUUUAUGUACCUUUCUACCAAAGAUAUUAAAGACUAUCUUCUUCAGUUUUGUUCUAUAUCCUGUUUAUGGAUGUGUAUGUGUUCAGUCAAUAAAUAUAUCAGGAGUUGUUCUUUAUAUUUCAA